rnacentral:lncRNA from 1 species
GUCUAACAUGUUAAUACGUACACCGUCUCAUACAUUUAUCUUAGCACUGCAUAUAUGAAAAUAAAAUUUGAUUUUUUAUUAUCAGCAAAGAAUUCAUAAAAUUAAAAUGGGACACUUCAGGGUGUCCCAUCCCCGUAUACAUCAAAUUUGAUUCUUGAAUACCAGAUAGCACAUUCGAGGCUCACAAAACCUGCUGAACAAUGCAUGAACAUAUCCUAAAAAGCUACUAUGAGAAAAAGCGCACUUUCCAACAAAGUGCCAUUUAGCUAGACAAAUGACCAUUAUCAAAUAGUAAAGCACAAUUCUGGUGGCCUCAAAACUGGAUGGAAGAGAAAGCAAUUCACCAUAAUCAGUUUCCAAGAUACCAAAAGCAGAAAGUAUUGAUAUUCUGACAGCAACACACCAAACCAGAAUUUUUUGAAAAAGGUUGAUAAAAGCAUCCACUCUUCAAAACCACCUCUUCUAUACUUCACAUUGUACCGAUCCUACCUCCACAACAACCUCCAACUGAUAAGAUAUUCUCAUUUAGACAUGACAAACACAUGAUUUGUGUUUCAAAAUUGCAUCAGCUCCUUCCCAGAACACCAUAGGGGUUUGAAUCAGCACAAAGAAUUUUUCAUCUGAACUAAAACAUGCCCCUAAGACACCCCUAAACCUGCACCCUGUAGUUACUAAACUCGUUCCUGCAAAACUGCUCCUCCAGACACCAAAAAUACUAGCUGCUUGAGGCUUGACCUCUACCACUGGUAUUUGUAGUUCAUACUGAGCUUCACUUUUCCAAAGCAUGACAGAAAGUAAAGUUAACAACCACAAAAUUGCUCCAAUCUUAAAACCUGCAGAGGUACAAAACAUGAUACAACAUCAUGUUUUUCUUAUCAGAUAACAAAGAAAUGGGUUUCAAAAGUUCUAUUCCACCCACUCCUACUUAUCAUCCACUUGGUCCAACAUUUCUUGCCCAAUAACCCAUCAUUUUAGAAUGGCUGCCCACCAAACCAAUGCAACAAAAAAUAUAUGGAUACUCUGAUCCUUGGCUCAAGUUAUUAAGUUAUUAUGUAGCUGAACCCACCCGUGCCUAGUCCCCGAGCCCCGGCAGCCCCCCAAUUGGACUUCAUAUACCUGAUACAACCCCCACUUAACCAUCCAGCUUUACUCCUUAUACCUGUUUUACUUACAAUACAGGUUCAAACCAAAAAACUACCUGCAUAAGCAGUAUAUAAUAUAUACUUGUGUGACUAUAUCUACUUCUCCACCAUGUGGCCAUCCAUCAACCUUACACAAGCUUGUGACGUUAGAUUCUAGAGUUUGAUGCUCAUGACAAUACUCUUUCCAGCUUCCUUCCAACUAACCACUGAGCCUUCACAAACUUUGCCAUUUGAUUUCACAUCCAAUUCGAUAUCAGCAGCAAGAGGCUCAGAGAAACAUUGCAGCACUCCAGAAAAUUGUCCGCCCUCUCUUCCAGAUAAUGCCUUAAUUUGAUAGAAACGUUUACUCAUCUUACAAGUUUUGUUAUUAUCAUAAUUUCAUAGACUUACUUAUACGCAUAAGACUGUUUAAUGGGGUGUUUGACCGUUUAAAAGUCACUACCGUCUAUUAUCUUAACAAUCUCCAUUUUUUGUAUGAUGACAAGAAUCAUGUUUUAAUAACAUCAUAAAAACAUAAAUAAGCAAGUAAGAGAUUUUACACAACAACAAAGCAAAUAAACAUUCUAAAAUGAAAAAUUAUAUGUCAAAAUUGAAAAGAGAAAUACGAAGUUGUAGACUCAGCCCACAUGUAGAAUAUAGAACAUUGAAUGAAUUAUGUCACUCUUUUAGUGGUUUACUGGUCCCUUUUUGUUUUUUUAAAGGAAAA